GAUGAACGCUGGCGGCGUGCCUAAUACAUGCCAGUCGAGCGAACAGACGAGGAGCUUGCUCCUCUGACGUUAGCGGCGGACGGGUGAGUAACACGUGGAUAACCUACCUAUAAGACUGGGAUAACUUCGGGAAACCGGAGCUAAUACCGGAUAAUAUAUUGAACCGCAUGGUUCAAUAGUGAAAGACGGUUUUGCUGUCACUUAUAGAUGGAUCCGCGCCGCAUUAGCUAGUUGGUAAGGUAACGGCUUACCAAGACAACGAUGCGUAGCCGACCUGAGAGGGUGAUCGGCCACACUGGAACUGAGACACGGUCCAGACUCCUACGGGAGGCAGCAGUAGGGAAUCUUCCGCAAUGGGCGAAAGCCUGACGGAGCAACGCCGCGUGAGUGAUGAAGGUCUUCGGAUCGUAAAACUCUGUUAUUAGGGAAGAACAAAUGUGUAAGUAACUAUGCACGUCUUGACGGUACCUAAUCAGAAAGCCACGGCUAACUACGUG
rnacentral:rRNA from 1 species